rnacentral:rRNA from 1 species
CCACUGACGCUCAUGCACGAAAGCGUGGGUAUCGAACAGGAUUAGAUACCCUGGUAGUCCACGCGGUAAACGAUGAUAACUAGUUAUCCGGGGCGAUUGGGCUCUGGGUGACCGAGCGAAAGCGUUAAGUUAUCCACCUGGGGAGUACGCCGGCAACGGUGAAACUCAAAGGAAUUGACGGGGGCCCGCACAAGCGGAGGAACAUGUGGUUUAAUUCGAUGAUACGCGAGGAACCUUACCCGGGCUCAAACGCAGCGCGACAGACCCUGAAAGGGGUUUUUCUUCGGACGCGCUGCGAGGUGCUGCAUGGUUGUCGUCAGCUCGUGCCGUGAGGUGUCGGCUUAAGUGCCAUAACGAGCGCAACCCCCAUCUUCAGUUGCCAUCGGUUAAAGCCGGGCACUCUGGAGAGACUGCCGGCGCAAGCUGUGAGGAAGGCGGGGAUGACGUCAAAUCAGCACGGCCCUUACGUCCGGGGCGACACACGUGUUACAAUGGCGGGGCACAGCGGGAAGCCAGGCGGCGACGCCGAGCUGAUCCCGAAAACCCGUCUCAGUUCGGAUCGGAGUCUGCAACCCGACUCCGUGAAGCUGGAUUCGCUAG